GAGACGGUUUCUCAGUGGUAGUGUGCAUGCUUUGUGUAUAUGAUGUCCUGGGUUCAAUCCCCAGUUCGCCGUUGCA